AGAGUUUGAUCAUGGCUCAGAUUGAACGCUGGCGGCAGGCCUAACACAUGCAAGUCGAGCGGUAGCACAGAGAGCUUGCUCUCGGGUGACGAGCGGCGGACGGGUGAGUAAUGUCUGGGAAACUGCCUGAUGGAGGGGGAUAACUACUGGAAACGGUAGCUAAUACCGCAUAAUGUCGCAAGACCAAAGUGGGGGACCUUCGGGCCUCAUGCCAUCAGAUGUGCCCAGAUGGGAUUAGCUAGUAGGUGGGGUAAUGGCUCACCUAGGCGACGAUCCCUAGCUGGUCUGAGAGGAUGACCAGCCACACUGGAACUGAGACACGGUCCAGACUCCUACGGGAGGCAGCAGUGGGGAAUAUUGCACAAUGGGCGCAAGCCUGAUGCAGCCAUGCCGCGUGUGUGAAGAAGGCCUUCGGGUUGUAAAGCACUUUCAGCGGGGAGGAAGGCGUUAAGGUUAAUAACCUUGGCGAUUGACGUUACCCGCAGAAGAAGCACCGGCUAACUCCGUGCCAGCAGCCGCGGUAAUACGGAGGGUGCAAGCGUUAAUCGGAAUUACUGGGCGUAAAGCGCACGCAGGCGGUCUGUCAAGUCGGAUGUGAAAUCCCCGGGCUCAACCUGGGAACUGCAUUCGAAACUGGCAGGCUAGAGUCUUGUAGAGGGGGGUAGAAUUCCAGGUGUAGCGGUGAAAUGCGUAGAGAUCUGGAGGAAUACCGGUGGCGAAGGCGGCCCCCUGGACAAAGACUGACGCUCAGGUGCGAAAGCGUGGGGAGCAAACAGGAUUAGAUACCCUGGUAGUCCACGCCGUAAACGAUGUCGAUUUGGAGGUUGUGCCCUUGAGGCGUGGCUUCCGGAGCUAACGCGUUAAAUCGACCGCCUGGGGAGUACGGCCGCAAGGUUAAAACUCAAAUGAAUUGACGGGGGCCCGCACAAGCGGUGGAGCAUGUGGUUUAAUUCGAUGCAACGCGAAGAACCUUACCUGGUCUUGACAUCCACAGAACUUUCCAGAGAUGGAUUGGUGCCUUCGGGAACUGUGAGACAGGUGCUGCAUGGCUGUCGUCAGCUCGUGUUGUGAAAUGUUGGGUUAAGUCCCGCAACGAGCGCAACCCUUAUCCUUUGUUGCCAGCGGUCAGGCCGGGAACUCAAAGGAGACUGCCAGUGAUAAACUGGAGGAAGGUGGGGAUGACGUCAAGUCAUCAUGGCCCUUACGACCAGGGCUACACACGUGCUACAAUGGCAUAUACAAAGAGAAGCGACCUCGCGAGAGCAAGCGGACCUCAUAAAGUAUGUCGUAGUCCGGAUUGGAGUCUGCAACUCGACUCCAUGAAGUCGGAAUCGCUAGUAAUCGUAGAUCAGAAUGCUACGGUGAAUACGUUCCCGGGCCUUGUACACACCGCCCGUCACACCAUGGGAGUGGGUUGCAAAAGAAGUAGGUAGCUUAACCUUCGGGAGGGCGCUUACCACUUUGUGAUUCAUGACUGGGGUGAAGUCGUAACAAGGUAACCGUAGGGGAACCUGCGGUUG
rnacentral:rRNA from 1 species